rnacentral:rRNA from 1 species
UGGGGAAUUUUGGACAAUGGGGGCAACCCUGAUCCAGCCAUGCCGCGUGAGUGAAGAAGGCCUUCGGGUUGUAAAGCUCUUUCGGUGGGAACGAAACGGGUGCGGCUAAUACCUGCGCUCAAUGACGGUACUCACAGAAGAAGCACCGGUUAACUACGUGCCAGCAGCCGCGGUAAUACGUAGGGUGCGAGCGUUAAUCGGAAUUACUGGGCGUAAAGCGUGCGCAGGCGGUGCACCAAGCUCGAUGUGAAAGCCCCGGGCUUAACCUGGGAAUUGCAUUGAGGACUGGCAUGCUCGAGUGCGGCAGAGGGGGGUGGAAUUCCACGUGUAGCAGUGAAAUGCGUAGAGAUGUGGAGGAACACCGAUGGCGAAGGCAGCCCCCUGGGCCGACACUGACGCUCAUGCACGAAAGCGUGGGGAGCAAACAGGAUUAGAUACCCUGGUAGUCCACGCCCUAAACGAUGUCGACUGGUUGUUGGGGGAGGCAACUUCCUUAGUAACGAAGCUAACGCGUGAAGUCGACCGCCUGGGGAGUACGGCCGCAAGGUUAA